rfam:Microgenomates (Shapirobacteria) bacterium GW2011_GWE2_38_30 TS90_C0019, whole genome shotgun sequence.
AAAGAAUUUGAAUAAAGCAAAUGGUGGAUGCCUUGGUCGCUAAGGCCGAAGAAGGACGCGGAAGACUGCGAAAAUGUUCGGGGAGCCGUCAACAGGCUAUGAUCCGGACGUGUCCGAAUGGAGUAAUCCACUCUGAUGAAAGUCAGAUUACUGUCCCGAUUUAUCGGGGCGGAGGUAAGCCGGGGAACUGAAACAUCUAAGUACCCGGAGGAAAAUAAAUCGUAUGAGAUUCCGUUAGUAGCGGUGAGCGAACACGGAAAAGCCUAAACCCCGACCGCAAGGCUGGGGGGUUGCAGGGUCCAGUUGUAUGAUGUGAAAGAUUAGAAAAAGUUUCUGGAAUGAAACACCAAAGAGGGUGAGAGUCCCGUAUUUAAAAAUCUAGUAACAUUUUGACAGGAUACCUAAGUACCGCGGUCCACGUGUAAUGUCGCGGGAAUCUGGGGGGACCAACCUCCAAGGCUAAAUACUUUAGCGGACCGAUAGUGAACUAGUACCGUGAGGGAAAGGUGAAAAACACCCAAAGUAUGGGAGUGAAAUAGAUCUGAAACCAUUUGCUAACAAACAGACAAAGUCCUUCGGCAGCAAUGCUCAGGAUGAUGUCGUGCCUAUUGAAGAAUGAGCCUGCGAGUGUUUUUGAUUGCCAAGUUUAAGUCGCCAAAGGCGACGAAGGCGGAGCGAAAGCGAGUCUGAACAAGGCGUUAGGCAAUCAGAUAUAACCCGAAACCAGUUGAGCUAACCAUGAGCAGGGUGAAAGUCGAUGAAAGUCGGCUGGAGGCCCGAACCGUUCAAUGCUGCAAAAUUGUCGGAUGACUUGUGGUUAGAGGUAAUAUGCCAAUCGAAACUGGAAAUAGCUGGCUCUCUCCGAAAUAUAUAUAGGUAUAGCGUCUAGUGUUUCUCUGUGGGGGUAGAGCUACUGAAUGAAUGUUUUUGACGCAAGUCAAGGCAUUUAACCAAACUCCGAAUACCGCAGAAUUAAGCUAGGCAGUCAGUCCGACCGGGCUAAGCUGGCCGGGCGAGAGGGGAAGACCCCAGACUCUCAAUUAAGGUCUCUAAAUCUAUGCUAAGUGGGAAAGGUAGUGGAUUGCCUAAGACAGGCAGGAGGUUGGCUCAGAAGCAGCCAUCCUUUAAAGAAAGCGUAAUAGCUCACUGUUCGACCCUUCGGGGCCGGCAAUCUGCGCCGAAAAUGUAACGAGGCUAAAGCAUAGUACCGAAAUUGGAGGUUUCUUUUUAGAUUUAUCUAAAAAGGAGCAGUAGGAGAGCGUUCUGACAGCGGUGAAGGUCAAGGCGUAAGCCAGGCUGGAGCGGUCAGAAGCGAGAAUGCAGGCAUGAGUAACGAAACUCAAGUGAGAACCUUGAGCGCCGAAACACCUAAGGUUUCCUCAGCUACGUUGUUCGACUGAGGGUUAGGCGAUCCUAACAUGAGCCCCGAAGAAUCGGGGGUAGUGGAUGGACAACCGGUUAAUAUUCCGGUCCUUCCUUUAAUUCGUUUUAAGUUGGGGCAUGACGACAUAUGGAAAAUUUAGUCCCGCAGUGAAAUUGCGGGAUUUAAGCGAGGUAGCAAGAAGGAAUUGGAAAAUCCGUUCCUUCGUUAUAAAGUGAGACGCGAAUAAAACUGCGACGAAAGUCGUAGAAUUAGAUUGACCCCAUGUGUCCGAGAAAAGUGUCGCAACUAGAAUUAAGGGAAUUCGUACCAAAACCGACACUGGUGGGUAGGUCGAGUAGACCUAGGCGAUUGGAAGAAAGAUAGUUAAGGAACUUGGCAAAUUAUCUGGGUGUAAGCUUUGCAAGAUACCCUGACCGGUGUAACAACCGGCCUACAACAAAAGAAUGCAUGGCGACUGUUUAUCAGAAACACAGGUCUCUGCAAACCCGUAAGGGGAAGUAUAGGGGCUGAAACCUGACCGGUGCCAGAAGGUUAAGAAGGCGGGUGAUUUUCGAUUUAUCGGAUUCUGCCUGUUUUAUAAGCCCUGGUGAACGUCAGCAGUAACUCUAACUGUUCUAAGGUAGCGAAGUCCUUUGUCGUGUAAGUUACGACCCGUAUGAAAGGUUUAACGACUGUGCAACUGUCUUAACUAUCUAUCCAGUGAAAUUGAAAGAGCGGUGAAGAUGCCGUUUAGUUACGGAAGGACAAAAAGACCCCAUGAAGCUUUACUGGAUCUUUACAUUGAUAAGAAUUUGAAUAUUGUCGAGCGUAGGAGGGAGCCUUCGGGCGCCAAUGGAACACCUCCCUUGUUCAUUUUUAAAUCUAACCUAAACCGAUGAAUCUCGGUUGGGAACAGUGUAUGGUUGCUAGUUUGCCUGGGGCAGGCACCUGCAAAAAAGUAACGCGGGUAUACAAAGGUCAACUUGGUCCGGCAAGAAAUCGGACUGUUAGUACAAAAGUAUAAGUUGGCUUGACUGUGAGACAUACUAGUCGAGUAACACCAUUUAUUUGGAGUUAGUCCCGGCGUUAGUCCGGGAUCAGGGUCGAAAGACGGUUUUAGUGAUCCUCGUGACCCAUUUGGUAUGGGCACGGGCUUACUGGAUAAAAGCUACUCUGGGGAUAACAGGCUGGUCGCAUCCGAUAGUUCAUAUUGACGAUGCGGUUCGGCACCUCGAUGUCGACUUGGCGCAUCCUGGCCCUGAAGAAGGGGCCAAGGGUUGGUCUGUUCGCCCAUUAAAGCGCUGCGUUAGUUGGGUUCAGAGCGUCGCGAGACAGCUCGGUCUCUAUCCUCCGUAACCGUUUGAUUCUUGAAGGGAUUCGUCUACAGUACGAGAGGACCUAGACGAGGGAACCUCUAGUGUGCCAGUUGUCCUGUCAAGGGCAUCGCUGGGUAGCUACGUUCUUAUAAGAUAAUUGCUGAAAGCAUCUCAAGCAAGAAGCUGACCCUAAGAUUAGGAAUCAAUGUCCGAUUUAUCGGACGAGAGAUCGCCGGGAGACUACCGGUUAAUACUUUGGGCGUAGAAGACCAGUAAUGGUUUAAGCUAACCAAAGGAUAGAUCGAUAAAAUUUUUUAA